rnacentral:rRNA from 1 species
GACGAACGCUGGCGGCGUGCCUAAUACAUGCAAGUCGAGCGGACCGGAUUGGGGCUUGCCUUGAUUCGGUCAGCGGCGGACGGGUGAGUAACACGUGGGCAACCUGCCCGCAAGACCGGGAUAACUCCGGGAAACCGGAGCUAAUACCGGAUAACACCGAAGACCGCAUGGUCUUCGGUUGAAAGGCGGCCUUUGGGCUGUCACUUGCGGAUGGGCCCGCGGCGCAUUAGCUAGUUGGUGAGGUAACGGCUCACCAAGGCGACGAUGCGUAGCCGGCCUGAGAGGGUGACCGGCCACACUGGGACUGAGACACGGCCCAGACUCCUACGGGAGGCAGCAGUAGGGAAUCUUCCGCAAGGGGCGAAAGCCUGACGGAGCGACGCCGCGUGAGCGAAGAAGGCCGUCGGGUCGUAAAGCUCUGUUGUGAGGGACGAAGGAGCGUCGUUCGAAGAGGGCGGCGCGGUGACGGUACCUCACGAGAAAGCCCCGGCUAACUACGUG